rnacentral:rRNA from 1 species
CAAAAACAUCGCCUCCCGCAAACAUCAACGUAUAGGAGGUCUUGCCUGCCCAGUGACUAUAAGUUAAACGGCCGCGGUAUUUUGACCGUGCAAAGGUAGCGCAAUCACUUGUCUUUUAAAUGAAGACCUGUAUGAAUGGUAGAACGAGGGCUUAACUGUCUCCCCCUUCCAGUCAAUGAAAUUGAUCUGCCCGUGCAGAAGCGGGCAUAACCAUACAAGACGAGAAGACCCUUUGGAGCUUAAGAUAAAAGACCAACUAUGUUAAAAGCCCCAAAAAAGCCUAAACCAAGUAGCACUGGUCCCAAUCUUCGGUUGGGGUGACCGCGGGAGAGAACAAAGCUCCCACGCGGACUGGGGAGACCCCCUAGAACUAAGAGAGACAUCUCUAAGGCACAGAAUGUCUGACCAAAAAGAUCCGGCUACCCGCCGACCAACGAACCAAGUUACCCUAGGGAUAACAGCGCAAUCCCCUUCCAGAGUCCAUAUCGACAAGGGGGUUUACGACCUCGAUGUUGGAUCAGGAUAUCCUAAUGGUGCAGCCGCUAUUAAGGGUUC